rnacentral:rRNA from 1 species
UACGAAGGGGGCUAGCGUUGCUCGGAAUCACUGGGCGUAAAGGGUGCGUAGGCGGGUCUUAAGUCAGGGGUGAAAUCCUGGAGCUCAACUCCAGAACUGCCUUUGAUACUGAAGAUCUUGAGUUCGGGAGAGGUGAGUGGAACUGCGAGUGUAGAGGUGAAAUUCGUAGAUAUUCGCAAGAACACCAGUGGCGAAGGCGGCUCACUGGCCCGAUACUGACGCUGAGGCACGAAAGCGUGGGGAGCAAACAGGG